GCUUGAGCACGUAGGUGGGUUUGUAAGUCAGGUGUGAAAGCCUUCUGUUCAACGGGAGAAUUGCAUCUGAAACUACGAAUCUUGAGUGUAGGAGGGGAGAAUGGAACUUCUGGUGGAGCGGUGAAAUCCGUAGAUAUCAGAAGGAACGCCGGCGGCGAAAGCGAUUCUCUGGCCUAUUACUGACACUCAGUGUGCGAAAGCUAGGGGAGCAAACGGGAUUAGAUACCCCGGUAGUCCUAGCCGUAAACGAUGGGCACUAAGUAGAGGGGAUUACCGACGUUCUCUCUGCCGUAGCUAACGCAUUAAGUGCCCCGCCUGGGGAGUACGGCCGCAAGGCUAAAACUCAAAAGAAUUGACGGGGGCUCGCACAAGCGGUGGAGCAUGUGGCUUAAUUCGAUGCAACGCGAAGAACCUUACCGGGGCUUGACAUGGUAGAAGUAGGAACCCGAAAGGGUAACGAACGGUAUCCAGUCCGUGACUAUCACAGGUGUUGCAUGGCUGUCGUCAGCUCCUGUCGUGAGACGUUGGGUUAAGUCCCCUAACGAGCGAAACCCUUGUUUUUAGUUGCCAGCGGGUUAUGCCGGGUACUCUAGAAAGACUGCCGUCGUCAAGACGGAGGAAGGUGGGGAUGACGUCAAGUCAUCAUGGCCCUUAUGCCCCGGGCUGCACACGUGCUACAAUGGUCGGUACAAACGGAAGCGAAGCCGAGAGGUGAAGCGAAUCCAAGC
rnacentral:rRNA from 1 species